rnacentral:rRNA from 1 species
AACGAACGCUGGCGGCAUGCCUAACACAUGCAAGUCGAACGAAGGCUUCGGCCUUAGUGGCGCACGGGUGCGUAACGCGUGGGAAUCUGCCCUUGGGUUCGGAAUAACAGUUGGAAACGACUGCUAAUACCGGAUGAUGACUUCGGUCCAAAGAUUUAUCGCCCAGGGAUGAGCCCGCGUAGGAUUAGCUUGUUGGUGAGGUAAAGGCUCACCAAGGCGACGAUCCUUAGCUGGUCUGAGAGGAUGAUCAGCCACACUGGGACUGAGACACGGCCCAGACUCCUACGGGAGGCAGCAGUGGGGAAUAUUGGACAAUGGGCGAAAGCCUGAUCCAGCAAUGCCGCGUGAGUGAUGAAGGCCUUAGGGUUGUAAAGCUCUUUUACCCGGGAAGAUAAUGACUGUACCGGGAGAAUAAGCCCCGGCUAACUCCGUGCCAGCCGCCGCGGUAAGAC